AGCAGCCGCGGUAAUUCCAGCUCCAAUAGCGUAUAUUAAAGUUGUUGCAGUUAAAAAGCUCGUAGUUGAAUUUCGGGGUCAGUAGGUUGGUCGUGCCACUGGUAUGCACUGGUCUCACUGAUUCCUCCUUCCUGAUGAGCCGUAAUGCCAUUAAUUUGGUGUUGCGGGGAAUCUGGACUGUUACUUUGAAAAAUUAGAGUGUUUAAAGCAGGCUAACGCUUGAAUACAUUAGCAUGGAAUAAUGAAAUAGGACGAUCGAUCCUAUUUUGUUGGUUUCUAGGAUUGACGUAAUGAUUAAUAGGGAUAGUUGGGGGCAUUAGUAUUCAAUUGUCAGAGGUGAAAUUCUUGGAUUUAUUGAAGACUAACUACUGCGAAAGCAUUUGCCAAGUAUGUUUUCAUUAAUCAAGAACGAAAGUUAGGGGAUCGAAGACGAUCAGAUACCGUCGUAGUCUUAACCAUAAACUAUGCCGACUAGGGAUCGGAUGAUGUUAAUUUUUAAUGUA
rnacentral:rRNA from 1 species